UUGCACGCUGGCGGCAGGCCCAACACAUGCAAGUCGAGCGGAUGAAGGGAGCUUGCUCCUGGAUUCAGCGGCGGACGGGUGCGUAAUGCCUAGGAAUCUGCCUGGUAGUGGGGGAUAACGUCCGGAAACGGGCGCUAAUACCGCAUACGUCCUGAGGGAGAAAGUGGGGGAUCUUCGGACCUCACGCUAUCAGAUGAGCCUAGGUCGGAUUAGCUAGUUGGUGGGGUAAAGGCCUACCAAGGCGACGAUCCGUAACUGGUCUGAGAGGAUGAUCAGUCACACUGGAACUGAGACACGGUCCAGACUCCUACGGGAGGCAGCAGUGGGGAAUAUUGGACAAUGGGCGAAAGCCUGAUCCAGCCAUGCCGCGUGUGUGAAGAAGGUCUUCGGAUUGUAAAGCACUUUAAGUUGGGAGGAAGGGCAGUAAGUUAAUACCUUGCUGUUUUGACGUUACCAACAGAAUAAGCACCGGCUAACUUCGUG
rnacentral:rRNA from 1 species